AAAGGUAUUAUGGGCUCAAAUCUGAGCUCGAACGCCAAACCUGCAAUAUAAUAUUUUUUUUCAUUUUCAAUUCAACUGUUCUCAAUCCACUUGACUAUCCAUUCUACAUCAGUUGAUCAAAAUUUUAAUAGUUUGUGAUUUUUCGAUAACAUAUUAGUGCUUCUUAAAUUGUAUAUGGAGUCCAUUACACUUGUCAAAGGGAAUAAUAUAAGCAUGUCUUCAUAGUAAUUCUCGCUUAUUCCUGCUGCCCUUCCUCUGUCUUGUGAAGUUGCAACACCAUUGGUUGCCUUGUAACGAUACCUAAAAAAAAGAUAAAAAAAAAAAAAAAAAAAAAAGGGAUAAACAAAUGGAUAGCAUUAAUUAAAUAUUUAUUCCAAGUUUAUCAGAUUAAAGGUCGGGGCUUACCAAAGUUAUGGAAAAGGAAAUCUCGUCCUACUAUGCUCUCCAACAUAGAAGACUUCCCUGAACUUUGUUCUGAGCUCAAACCAAAAUUCGAAAACCCACAUAAAAGCAUGUUUGGCUUACCCUAGCAAAAAGUAAAAAAUUAAGUAAUUUCUAAUUUCUAAAUAUAUUUUGAAAGGUUACUUUCAAGAAAAAUGAUAUUUAUUUCGAAAGAAGCUUUUAACUUAUUUCCAAUUUUUAUAUUUAUUUUGAAACCUGCUUACUUGCAAGGGAACUGAAUCAAUCCUACUUUUUUUUACUUUUUAUUUGAUUUAUGUACAACCCUUUUCAUACAAAGAUCUACCUUUCUUGUUCAACCUUGCUGUCAAUUCUAAAUUAAAUUACUUCUACAUUUUUAAGUCUACCUUGAACAAUCUUAAAUCAUUUUUCUCCUGGCAACACUAUUUCUCUUACUUCAACAAUGUGCUAAUGUCUAAUUUAAUACAUUUUUUAAAUGUAUAUACUUGACACACAUUCAAAUACUUAUCAUUAUUCCUUAGGAGCUAAAAUUCAAUUAAUGUCAAGUAAUGCUCACAAAAAAUGCAAAAUGAAAAACCAAUAUCAAAAUUCAAAAUUGAGAGACUCCGCUUCAAACUUAAUCCCAGUAUGUUCUUCUUGCUUAUCUUUAACACUUUUCCUCGACUAUCAAUCCAAUGUAUCCAAAUAGCUAAUGUAAACGAACUUGUUGCACGUCAAAUUGAGGAGGUAAAGGCCUAAAUUUAAACCUCAAGAAAGUCAUUAGACAAGCACUUAAUUUUGUCGGGAAUUGACUUUGUAUUAUCCUACAUAGAAUAAGAAUUGAAAUUAUAAUGUCACAUUUGGAAUAUGAAUUAAUUUGUUUGUCCUGUGUUACAAGAAUGAGUUGAUUUGUUUCCUACAUCCGAAAGGAAUAGUUAGCUAACCUCUUUUGUGCACACAUAAUAGGAGACUCCACCUUAUAUUUUCACCAUUUCAAGGUUGAGAUGGUUGUAGACUAUCUUAGGCUAAGACUUAGAAGAUCAUUUGUAGACUCCCAUGUAUGUAUUUUGUAGUGUAUUUGGGGGUUUGGAAAUUGUGAGUACGUGUAAUUGUAGCAAUUUUUCACAUUUGUAUAAAUCUUUGUUUUCUAAAAUCUGGUUUUCACAUUAACACAUCAAUAUGCUACAAUAUGAAACUUCGUAAAUAACAUUCCAAAUUUUCCAAUUAUAUGUGUCAUACAUUAUUCAACAGGAGGAAACUCCUUACCCUGUCAACUAUCCACCCACCACUUGGUAUAUCUCUGUAGAAUUUCUCAUUAUAUUUCACUAAUUUUAAAUUAACUCUUUGGCUGCAUUCAUAUAAAUAUAAUAAAAAGUAAUUAACUUACUAUUGAGAUUGUUAUACAUAAACAAGUCCAAGCAAUUAGACACUUGUCAUUUCGGUUGGGGUCUCCAACAUAGGAAGUCAUUAGCAUUCAACGGAUCCACCACUUGAAAUAGGUCAAAGUUAUUCCCCUCUUCAAUUUUUUUCCUGCUUGUAGAUAUAGAAGGUAAGAAGGAUUUCUUCGAGGCUCUAGAGUAUUUCACCCUAAUAUGUUAUAGAUAAGCAAGAAAAAACCCUGUCGAUUUGAUGUAAAAACAUUGGUGCUCAGUAAUGAUGCAAUCAGUAUGCCCACUACCAUUAAAAGGGAACAUUGAUUACUAUAUGCGAAUCAUCCUCAUAAAUCAUAACAAACACUUGCAGGCAACAUUUGUAUAAAGAAAAAAGAACAGAACAUGCAAAGAAUUGUGAAAGCUGAUAUGCAUUCCAUACUGAUUUAUAUGAUCAAUGGAGAGCACAUCAUCCACAACUUCAAUAGUACAAGCCAGAGAAAUGUAUUACUAGUAAAAUGAAGAUGCUUCUAGAAGAUUCAGCAUAGAGCUUGCCCGAGAUCAACCAUAUAUUGUAAGCUUUGAAACGAAUGCACAUCAUUAUAUUAAUCUCCAGAUCUCCAAGUUUUUUUAAGGCUACAUAACUCGCUCAUAUUCUAAUUUUUUUACUUAUUCCUCAAACUAAUACUUAUAGUCAGUGUUAACUGAAAAGAAUAAUUGUGAUCUCAAAAUUGGCUAUGCAGAAAAAUGUAGUAUCUAUUUCAACCCAGUUGGGAGUGUAGGAUUAAUUUCUCAACAAUGUAAUUUAUUGACAUGAAUUAUUGAAAUGUGUAAUUGCACAACGUAAUUAUUCAUUCCUCAAAAUGGGGCUCUAGCAUUAGUUUCUCUAUAAGCUUGUAACUAUAUUUUUUGAGCAAUUAACAAGAUGGAUUAUCAAGAAAAUAACAACCUUAGAUUUGAAGUUCCAAUAUAAGUUCAUUAAGGCCACCAGUAUUCACCGACUCCCUGUGCACAAGAAUUGUUUCCUAAAAAUAAUAAGUUCAACGAGCUAAGGAUAUGCCAACAUACUAACAUGUGG
rnacentral:lncRNA from 1 species